AUUGAACGCUGGCGGCAUGCCUUACACAUGCAAGUCGAACGGUAACGCGGGGCAACCUGGCGACGAGUGGCGAACGGGUGAGUAAUGUAUCGGAACGUACCCAGUUGUGGGGGAUAACUGCUCGAAAGAGCAGCUAAUACCGCAUACGACCUGAGGGUGAAAGCGGGGGAUCGCAAGACCUCGCGCAAUUGGAGCGGCCGAUAUCAGAUUAGGUAGUUGGUGGGGUAAAGGCUCACCACGCCAACGAUCUGUAGCUGGUCUGAGAGGACGACCAGCCACACUGGGACUGAGACACGGCCCAGACUCCUACGGGAGGCAGCAGUGGGGAAUUUUGGACAAUGGACGCAAGUCUGAUCCAGCCAUGCCGCGUGCGGGAAGAAGGCCUUCGGGUUGUAAACCGCUUUUGUCAGGGAAGAAACGCUCUGGGUUAAUACCUCGGGGUAAUGACGGUACCUGAAGAAUAAGCACCGGCUAACUACGUGCCAGCCGCCGCGGUAAUAC
rnacentral:rRNA from 1 species